UUGAGCACCUCCUGUAUGCCAGGCACUGUGCUGGGUACUGAGGAUACAGCAGUGGGCAGUGAACAAAAUCCCUGUUCUCAUGGAGCUGCCACUUCAGUGGGAAGAGACAAGAAACAAAAUGAAGGGGGGAAGCCAUCUCUGCUGAGUGUCAAUAAGUGUUAAGUAAUGGGGACAGAAAAGCAAAGAUCAGGGAGUGUUGUGGUGGGGUGGAUCUUGAAUAACAUAGUCAGCAAAGGCCUCCCUGGGAGGGUGACGUUUAUGUAAGACCAGAAGAGGUGAGGAAGGAAGCCAUGUGGGGACUCGGGAAGAACGUUCCUAGCAGAGGGAACAGCGGUGCAGAGGCCUCGAGGAAGUGUUUCUGGCCAUGGCGAGGCCUUUGUCCUUUAUCCUGAAUGAGAGGGAACCACAGGAAGCUGCUGCGGAAGAGGCACAUAGGAAAUGACAUCGUGACGAUCAUCUUCCAGGAGCCUGGCGCACUACCGUUCACCCCCAAGAACAUCCGCUCCCACUUCCAGCACGUCUUCAUCAUUGUCCGAGUCCACAACC
rnacentral:sRNA from 1 species